rnacentral:rRNA from 1 species
AUUGAACGCUGGCGGCAGGCCUAACACAUGCAAGUCGAGCGGAUGAAGGGAGCUUGCUCCUGGAUUCAGCGGCGGACGGGUGAGUAAUGCCUAGGAAUCUGCCUGGUAGUGGGGGAUAACGUCCGGAAACGGGCGCUAAUACCGCAUACGUCCUGAGGGAGAAAGUGGGGGAUCUUCGGACCUCACGCUAUCAGAUGAGCCUAGGUCGGAUUAGCUAGUUGGUGGGGUAAAGGCCUACCAAGGCGACGAUCCGUAACUGGUCUGAGAGGAUGAUCGGUCACACUGGAACUGAGACACGGUCCAGACUCCUACGGGAGGCAGCAGUGGGGAAUAUUGGACAAUGGGCGAAAGCCUGAUCCAGCCAUGCCGCGUGUGUGAAGAAGGUCUUCGGAUUGUAAAGCACUUUAAGUUGGGAGGAAGGGCAGUAAGUUAAUACCUUGCUGUUUUGACGUCACCAACAGAAUAAGCACCGGCUAACUUCGUG